CGGCUCGCGGCGUGAGAAGGCCGCCGGCUCCUAAGAAAUCCCCCUCCUCCAGCUGAAGAAUUCGAGGUUCAGUACUUCAACAUACAGUACUUCAGAAUGCUGGUAAAAGAAGAGGCACAGUUAAAAGCCAGGGUUGUCUGACUCCAAAGUUCCGUGCCCUUGCCGCUAUCCUUUACUGCUUAAAGAGUGAAGGCUGAUCCUCAGCAUUAUUGUUUAACUACUUGGAUCCAGUUCAGCACUGAGCACCAACCGAAAAGAAGCCACUCUGCUAGAACAUCAGCUACCUAAGGAUCCUGGCUGGUACUUUCCACUCCCCAAGGAUGCACCUUCCAGUGGAGAAAACAAGAAAACCCCAUUGCCUUCCUGAGAAUGUGCGGCAAACUGCAAGGCUGUGCAGAGCUCAUUGGAUACAGUGGCUCCAAGUGUGCUCCAAGCAGAGCCUCUUCACAGUGGAGGCCACCCACAGGCACAGCAGAGCCACUGCGCAGGGCCGGAAAAACGUAAAAGGGAGGAGCCAUGGGGUGUGGCUGCAAUGCUCAGUUUCUUCCCCAAGCCGACGGAUCAGGUAAGUCACCCUUCCUGCUUGGACGGGGCAAAGCCCAGCGUGGCCUGGAGUUCUUGCAGUGGGUGUGGGGAGGCUAGGAACCCAGGUUUCCCCAUAACAAAUAUCCAUAAAGAUGACUUUCAGGCUGUGAAGACUGGACAUCCAGCCAAGGCCUCACUCCUGGGCACCAGACCGGUAUUUCCCGUGGCCUACUGUACAUCUCCACGUGGAUGGCCAUGAGGCAGCUCCGGUUCAACACCCCCAAAUCUAAAUUCAGGAGCCCUUUCCCCCCAGCCCUCCCCUGCCAUCUCAGAAUUGAUUAAUGACAGUACAGUCAGCCUUCCAAUUCAAGGAAGUGGGCACUCUCCGCCACUCUCGCGUGAAUACAGUUUGUCGGCAGAUCCCAUCCUUUCUACCUCCAAAGUUUGCACGGUGUUCCUUUAUGUUACUUCAGUUUACUCUCCUCAUCUCUUAGAUCACAGCAGGAGCCUCCUUACCAUCUCCAUGCCUCUGUCUUUCCCUCUCCCUCUUCCUGUCCAUAGGAAGUGGGACUCUACCUACAUUCCAACCUCAUACCUUUUCCCCAAAUGCAACUAAUGCUCCUUUCACACAGCCCUAUAACAGCAUCCAGUUUCCAGAACUUUUCCAGCCUUCCACCUCCCCUAACUUUCGCCUGGAAAACUCCUGAUCGGCCUACAACAUUCAGCUCUGGGGUUGUUCCUCCCCAACACCAUCCCUGACCAAGGCGAAAUUAAGGGGUCCGUCUGCAGUGCUCCCAAAAGCGAGCAUAACCUAGAUGUUUGUCAGCUAACUUUCUACCAGUCUGAGGGGUCCUUCAGUAUAGGGACAGGUUUAACUUUUGUUUAUGCUCUGGGUGCCUAGCUCAAUGCCAGGUGGAUGCUAGGGGCUCAAUAAACAUUUAUGGAAUCAAUAGCCAUGUCCCACAGGCCCCAUCAGUUUAACCUUGUCAAACCCAUAGCAUCUUCUCUCUUUCCCCACGCCCUUCACCUGGUGACCUUGGUGCAGCUAAUUGGUUGAAGAGCUCACAGGGAAUUGAAUGGUGCUUUCCCUCUAGUGUGCUCAGCUGGAGGCAGGCAAAGCAGGCUUCUCAGCAGGCAGUGAGUGGGCCAUGCUAGAGGAGGGACUGCUUUGUGCAACCUCAGGGCCUCCUGCAAAUCAGACUCAAUCGCCUUCACUUCCUGUGCUUAGGGAGAUUAGAUACUGCCUAAUCAACGCCAAUUUUUUUUUCUUUUCUUAAUAUUUGAAACUACCAAGUACCAGUUGCCAUCCUAGUGGGUGGCUU